rnacentral:piRNA from 1 species
UCAUUGAGGAGCUAGGCUCCUGCCUGAUGU